AGCCGGAGGUUCCUCGAUUAACGUGACGUUGGGCAGAACAAGGAUUGAUUCUCCAAGUCUCAGGGCAGCCUGAAUACCGAGGUGAUGGUAACGAGGUAUUCUGCCCAACGAGCUUACGGAAUAAGGAGAGGUGCUCUGGAUCCUUGUUUUUCAAAUAAACCUGUUCGACUAUAA